rnacentral:tRNA from 1 species
GAGGGUAUAGCUCAAGUGGUAGAGUGCAUACUUAGCAUGCACAAGGUCCUGGGUUCAAUCCCCAGUACCUCCU